rnacentral:lncRNA from 1 species
CUGAACCUGACUCGGUACCUGCUUCUUUCAUUUGACAUGCUUAGGGAAUUAAAAUGUAAAUUGUCUACUUACUGGGCUCUUCAGUUCCACAGCCUAUACAGGGAAGGUGCUGGGAGAGAGCAACAUCCCUCCGCCUGGGCAGGAGACAGAAUUGAAUAAUCAUAAUCAGUGAAGUCAGUGUGACACCAAAAUCUUGUCGGGCUGUAUCCCCGCCUGGUAUGUCAACUGCAUCGAAUGCAACCACAGGACUCUCCAGAGGGUGGUGCGGUCUGCCCAAUGCAUCACCGGGGGCAUACUGCCUGCCCUCCAGGACAUCUACAGCACCCAAUGUCACAGGAAGGCCAAGAAAAUCAUAAAGGACCUCAGCCAGCCGAGCCACGGCCUGUUCACCCCGCUACCAUCCAAAAGGCGAGGAGAAUGCUCAUUUCAUAGUGGUGGACAUGGUGCUGUAGGCCUUGGAGGGGGUCUGAGUCAGAAGAGCUGUGGGGCCAUGGGGAACCAUACAGGGACUCAGGGGCCAAAACCUGCAUCCACCCCCCAAAGACACUGUCACGUCCUGACCCUAGUUUCACGGAUUUAAUAAAAUGUAGAACUACAAACACGCUGCACCUUGGUCCGCUCCUUUGGACAACCGUGACAGAAUAACCCACCAUAAAAGGACCAAGCAGCGUGGAAAAGAAUGGACCUGGGAGGAAGUUCUGGACGGCAAGGGAUCCUGGACAUGGGAGGAGAUCCAGGCUGGAUGGGAUCGCCUUCCAUGGGAACAGGUGGAGGCAGCGAGAGCAGAGCGGCGACGAGAGGAGGCACGAUACCAACGGCGAGACAAGUGCGAGAGACACACGGGGAGAUUGGCAAAGUCAGGUUGGAGACCUGUGCCAACUCCCCAUGCUUACUGUGGGGGGUGAGUGAUCGAGCAAGCACCAUGUUAUGCUGAGAUACACACUGUGUCGCCAGUGCGCAGCUACAGCCCGGUGCGCUCGGUGAAAGCAACUCACAGGUGCUGUGCUAGAUUUGGCAUUGAGCCAGGAAGGAGUAUGCCUGCUCAGCGUUCCUGGUCUCCGGUGCGUCUUCUCGGUCCAGGUUAUCCUGCGCCAGCUCUACGCACGGUAACCCCAGUUCGCCAACACAAACCUGUGCGACCUGUCACAACGCCUCGCGCUUGUCGGUCUACGGAGGUUAUCCAGCCAGGACGGGUUGUGCCAGCCAUAAGCUCCAGACCUCCAGUGCGUCUUCACGGCCCAGUAUACCCUGUGCCUGCUCCGGGAACCCGGCCUCCAGUGACGUUCCCUAGUUCAGAACUCUCAGCGACGUUCUCUAGUCCGGUGAGACCUAUUCCAGUUCCACGAAAGAAGCCUCCAGUGAUGAUCCAUGGCCCGGAGCCUGUAGGGAUGAUCCAUGGCACGAAGCCUCCAGAGAUAAUCCAUGGCCUGGAGUCUGUAGGGAUAAUCCAUGGCAAGAAGCCUGUAGGGAUGAUCCAUGGCCCGGAGCCUGUAGAGAUGAUCCAUGGCACGAAGCCUCCAGUGAUAAUCCAUGGCGCGGAGCCUCCAGUGAUGAUCCAUGGCCCGAAGCCUCCAGUGAUGAUCCAUGGCCCGAAGCCUCCAGGGAUGAUCCAUGGCCCGAAGCCUCCAGGGAUGAUCCAUGGCCCGAAGCCUCCAGCAACGAUCCAUGGUCCGAAGCCUCCAGCGCCAAGCCAAGGUCCGGAGUCUCCAGCGACGGUCCGCAGUCCGGAGUCUCCAGCGACGGUCCGCGGUCCGGAGUCUCCAGCGACGGUCCCCGGUCCGGAGCUCCCAGCGACGGUCCGGAGCCUCCAGCGACGGUCCCCAGUCAGGAGCCCCCAGCAAGGGUUCCCAGGCCGGAGCCUCCGGCGACGAUCGGUGGUUCGGUUCCUCCAGCAGUGAUCUACGGUCCGGAGUCCGCGAUGACGAUCUACUGUCUGGAGUCCGUGACAACGAUCUACGGUCCGGAGUCCUCCGCGACGAUCCCUGUACCAGAGGCGCCACCGAAGUGGGGGGAGCCUCAAGCUGAGCGGGGUCUGCGUCCCGCACCGGAGCCUCCACCGAGAUGAGAUGCCCACCCGGACCCUCCCCUAUAGGUUCAGGUUUGCUGUCUCAGUCCAGUGUCUGUGUGGUGGGCUUAGAUAAGGUGAUGUCGGGACAGUGUCCCUCCGUAGAGGAGAGGCAGUGCCACCACGACUGACCACAUGCACACAUAGAGAGAGAUUUUCUGUGAACACAGUUACAGUAUAUCUCAACUUCCUUCAAAACAACUUCUCUUGUACUUGCUGAAUGAAAACUGAAAACUAUCAGCAGAAAAUAUGCAAAUGUAUAUUGAACAAAAAAAUGUACGCGCCAUGCAACAAUUUCAUAUAAAGUUAAUAUAGAGAAAUCAGUCAAUUGAAAUAAAUAAAUUAGGCCUUAAUCUAUGGAUUUUACUGGGAAUACAUAUAUGCAUCUGUUGGUCACAGAUACCUUUAAAAAAAGUAGGGGUGUGGAUCAGAAAACCAGUCAGUGUCUGGUGUGAUCACCAUUUGCCUCAUGCAGCGCGACACAUCUCCUUCACAUAGGGCUGUUGAUUGUGGCCUGUGGAAUGUAGUCCCACUCCUCUUCAAUGGCUGUGCGAAGUUGCUGGAUACUGACGGGAACUGGAACACGGUGUCGUACUUGUCAAUUCAGAGCAUCCCAAACAUGCUCAAUAGGUGACAUACUGUAUCUGGUGAGUAUGCAGAACUGGGACAUUUUCAACUUCCAGGAAAAGUUGAAACUACACAUUUUAGAGUGGCCCUUUAUUGUCCCCAGCACAAGGUGCAACUGUGAAAUGAUCAUGCUGUUUAAUCAGCUUCUUGAUAUGCCACACCUGUCAGGUGGAGGGAUGAUCUUGGCAAAGGAUAAAUGCUCAGGGUGUAAACUAAUUUGUGCACAAAAUUUGAGAUGAAUGAGCUUUUUGUGUGUAUGAAAUGUACAGUACACUGUGAAAUUUGCAUGAUGGCAUUGUUUGCAUUAGUAUGUACAGAAGAUAUAUCCUCAUCUCCAACAUUACAAGUUAAUUCGACAGAUGAGCAAGCGUCCCUAGCAGUUUCAGUCAGUCAUCACCAGUUGCAGUAGUAAGCUACUUCUUAUGACACCUUCCCAUAAAGGUAGAUACAAUAGGAAGUUAUAGAAUAUAUUCAUAUUAUAACCAUAGGUAUCUCUAUUGUGAAGGGGAUAUUUUCACAUGAACACCAACCUUUUUGAUAUCAUGUGAGGCCAUAUUAGAGUUGUACAGUCAAGUGCAUGUGAGAGAUCACUGUUUGAAGGAGGACAUUGACUUUGUAGAGCUCCUCAAACAAAUACAGAAUUUGUCUAAUAAUAAUCUCCUGAAUCCAUAAACAAACAAUAUUAUUAUAUUAGAAUAUUGCAAAUAAACAAUAUAUCAAUGGGCAUGUCAAGCCUAUACAGUAUAUACAGUGUCUUCGGAAAGUACUCAGACCCCUUGACUUUUUCCACAUUUUGUUACAUUAAAGCCUUAUUCUAAAAUGGAUUGAAUUGUUUAUUUUCCUCAUCAAUUUAUACACAAUACCCCAUAAUGAGAAAGCAAAAACAGGUUUUUAGAUAUUAUUGCUAACAUAUAAUUUAAAAAAACUUCAAUAUCACAUUUACAUAAGUAUUCAGACCCUUUACUCAGUACUUUGUUGAAGCACCUUUGGCAGCGAUUACAGCAUUGAGUCUUCUUGGGUAUGACGCUACAAGCUUGGCACACCUGUAUUUGGAGAGUUUUUCCCAUUCUUCUCUGCUGAUCCUCUCAAGCUCUGUCAGGUUGGACGGGGAGCGUCGCUGCACAGCUAUUUUCAGGUCUCUCCAGAGAUGUUCGAUUGGGUUCAAGGCAUUCAGAGACUUGUCCCGAAGCCACUCCUGCGUUAUCUUGGCUUGUGUGCUUAGGGUAGUUUUCCUGUUGGAAGGUGAACCUUCACCCCAGUCUGAGGUCCUGAGCACUCUGGAGUGGGUUUUCAUCAAGGAUCUCCGUUCAUCUUUGCCUGGAUCCUGACUAGUCUCCCAGUCCCUGCUACUGAAAAACAUCCCCACAGCAUGAUGCUGCAACCACCAUGCUAUACCGUAGGGAUGGUGCCAGGUUUCCACCAGACGUGACGCUUGGCAUUCAGGCCAAAGAAUUAAAUCUUGGUUUCAUCAGACCAGAUAAUCUUCUUUCUCAUGGUCUGAGAGUUUAGGUGCCUUUUGGCAAACCCCAAGCAUGCUGUCAUGUGCCUUUUACUGAGGAGUGGCUUCCGUCUGGUCACUCUACUAUAAAGGCCUGAUUGGUGGAGUACUACAGAGAUGGUUGUCCUUCUGGAAGGUUCUCUCAUCUCCACAGAGAAACUCCAGAGCUCUGUCAGAGUGACCAUCAGGUUCUUGGUCACCUCCCUGACCAAGGCCCUUCUCCCCCGAUUGCUCAGUUUGGCUGGGCGGCCAGCUCUAGGAAGAGUCUUGGUGGUACCAAACUUCUUAAUUUAAGGAUGAUGGAGGCCACUGUGUUCUUGGGGACCUUCAGUGCUGCAGACAUUUUUUGGUACCCUUCCCCAGAUCUGUGCCUCGACACAAUCUGUGCCUCGGACAAUUCCUCGGACAAUUCCUUCAACCUCCUGGCUUGGUUUUUGCUCUGACAUGCUCUGUCAACUGUGGGACCUUAUAUAGACAGGUGUGUGCCUUUCCAAAUCGUGCCCAAUCAAUUGAAUUUACCACAGGUGGACUCAAAUGAAGUUGUAGAAACAUCUCAAGGAUGAUCAAUGAAAACAGGAUGCACCUGAGCUCAAUUUCGAGUCUCAUAGCAAAGGGUCUGAAUACUUAUGUAAAUAAGGUUUUCUGUUUUUGUUUUUUUAUACAUUUGCAAAAAUGUAAAAAAAACGUUUCACUUUAUUAUUAUGGAGUAUUGUGUGUAGAUUGCUGAGAUAAAAAAAAAAGUUAAGAUACAUGUACACCUGCAGCAAGUAGUAUUGAAACCAUAGGAACAAUCACAAAUGUGAUUCUUUACAGAAUCUCUGAAACAAUUUAAUAUUCUAUCCAACUGUAAAGUACUCACCAUUUUGUAUAAUCCCAAAACAGAGGACAUGGUCGAACGUGAGUCUUUUUGUCAUGUGACGUGUAAAAUCAUACAGCUGUAAAAUUGUGAACUUGUUGAGCAAGAAGUGGGUCGGAUAUCUUUACAUCCAACAUUUAAUGUUGGGGGUCUCAUUCUGUUGUUAUAAGUGCUCUUAUAACCACACGUCAGUGAAUGACAAGUUUAGAUAACUGAGCUCUUUUAAUAUCUUGUUUAAAAAUGUGCACUAGUCUACUGCUCCAGUUCAGCAGUCCAAGUUAAAUUAGCGAGUGAGCUCUUAUGUCUUUGUGUAAUUAAUGUUUUAUCAAAGGUCAAAGGCUCAAACUCCAAGUAGUGUCUUAGAACUCCAAGUAGUGUCUUAUAAUUACUACAUAUUAUGUUUGACCUGAAAAGUGUUAUAAUACUCAUCCCAACAUCUCACAAAUCUCUG